GACGAACGCUGGCGGCGUGCUUAACACAUGCAAGUCGAACGGAAAGGCCUGCUUUCCCUUGUGGAUUGCGGGUACUCGAGUGGCGAACGGGUGAGUAACACGUGAUUGAUCUGCCCCCAACUUUGGGAUAAGCCUGGGAAACUGGGUCUAAUUCCCGAUAUGACGGCAUGGUUGGGCCUGUUUUUGGAAACAAGUUGCUAGUGGUGGGGGUUGGGCUGGCGGUCUGGCAGCUUGUUGGUGGGGUAAUGGCCUGCCGAGGGGGCGACGGGGAGCCGGGAUGAGAGGGUGGACGGCGACAUUGGGACUGCGAUACGGGACAGACUUAUGCGGGAGGCAGCAGUGGGGGAUAUCGGAGGAUGAGAGGGAGCAUGAUGCAGAGACGCGGUGUGGGGGAUGCCGGUGGUCGGGGUGUAACCUCCUUUCGUAAGCGAGGAACGCACCUGGUUGGACGGGUGGUGACGGUAGUGGUAGAAGAAGCACCGGCUAACUACGUG
rnacentral:rRNA from 1 species